rnacentral:tRNA from 1 species
GGGGCCGUGGCGAAACUGGCAGCCGCGGCGGACUUAAAAUCCGCUUCCGCGCGAGCGGAGUCCCGGUUCGACCCCGGGCGGCCCUAC